UUAUUUUCUUUUUCUCUCUUGUUUUAGUUUCGGUAAUGAUAGAAAUAAAAUGGACAUGGCUUUCUUUUAUCAUUAUUAUUUAUGUUUUAUGUUGUAAUAUAUUUUAUUAACUUAACAUUUAAUUUACUUAUUUAUCCAUGCUAAAGUUAUAAUAAAACGAUAUAAUAUAUGUCCACUACCGUCCAUUUAAUAAAUCAAUGGGC
rnacentral:lncRNA from 1 species